UGAUAUAUUAUGUCAAGUAAUGUUUUUUUUUCUUAAUUUAGAAGUUAGAAUUUAAGAAUUUUAUGUUUUCUAGAGACGGGACACACGUUAGGUUACAUUCAUCUGUUUUAGAAAGAAAAAAAAAAUUAGCGGGGGUUGAUGAACCCUUAAUCAACCAUUGGGCCAAAGGACUUCCACAACUAUAUUUGUUUAUGUUUAUGUUUGAUUUUAUUUAAAAUCAGAUAUUUAAUUAAAGAUUUACAAAGAUGUUUUAAAUUAAAAAGACAUCUAGACGUUUAUAAAUAUACGAUACAUAGAAGUUGUAAAUAAU
rnacentral:sRNA from 1 species